rnacentral:rRNA from 1 species
AUACGGAGGGUGCGAGCGUUAUCCGGAAUCACUGGGUUUAAAGGGUGCGUAGGCGGCCUGGUAAGUCAGGGGUGAAAGUUUACCGCUUAACGGUAGAAUUGCCUUUGAUACUGUCAGGCUUGAAUAAGAGCGAGGCAGGCGGAAUGUGGCAUGUAGCGGUGAAAUGCAUAGAUAUGCCAUAGAACACCGAUUGCGAAGGCAGCUUGCCAGAACUUUAUUGACGCUGAGGCACGAAAGCGUGGGGAGCGAACAGGAUUAGAUACCCUGGUAGUCCACGCCCUAAACGAUGCUUACUCGACGUGCGGCAGAUAGUUGUGCGUCCAAGCGAAAGCGCUAAGUAAGCCACCUGGGGAGUACGCCGGCAACGGUGAA